UACAGAGGUCUCAAGCGUUGUUCGGAUUCAUUGGGCGUAAAGGGUGCGUAGGUGGCGCCGUAAGUCAGGUGUGAAAUUUCGGAGCUUAACUCCGAAACUGCAUUUGAUACUGCGGUGCUUGAGGACUGGAGAGGAGACUGGAAUUUACGGUGUAGCAGUGAAAUGCGUAGAGAUCGUAAGGAAGACCAGUGGCGAAGGCGGGUCUCUGGACAGUUCCUGACAGCUGAGGCACGAAGGCCCAGGGGAGCAAACGGG
rnacentral:rRNA from 1 species